AGGCUGCAGUGAGGAAUAUUGGUCAAUGGGCGCAAGCCUGAACCAGCCAUGCCGCGUGCAGGAAGAAGCAUCUAUGGUGUGUAAACUGCUUUUAUACAGGAAGAAACAACGCUACGUGUAGCGUCUUGACGGUACUGUAAGAAUAAGGACCGGCUAACUCCGUGCCAGCAGCCGCGGUAAUACGGAGGGUCCAAGCGUUAUCCGGAAUCAUUGGGUUUAAAGGGUCCGUAGGCGGUCUUAUAAGUCAGUGGUGAAAUCUCCUAGCUCAACUAGGAAACUGCCAUUGAUACUGUAAGACUUGAAUUUUUGUGAAGUAACUAGAAUAUGUAGUGUAGCGGUGAAAUGCUUAGAUAUUACAUGGAAUACCAAUUGCGAAGGCAGGUUACUAACAAACGAUUGACGCUGAUGGACGAAAGCGUGGGGAGCGAACAGGAUUAGAUACCCCAGUAGUC
rnacentral:rRNA from 1 species